AUUGUACUCCCUCCAUCCAACAAAGGAUGUCUCAACUUUGAUUAAAUUUGAAUGCAUCUAUACACUAAGUCAUGUCUAGAUACAUCCAAAUUUUGACAAACUUGAGACAUCUUUUGUUGGACGGAGGGAGUAUUAA
rnacentral:pre_miRNA from 1 species